rnacentral:rRNA from 1 species
GACAGAGGGUGCAAACGUUGUUCGGAAUUACUGGGCGUAAAGCGCGUGUAGGCAGUUUCGCAAGUCGGGCGUGAAAGCCCUGGGCUCAACCUAGGAAGUGCACUCGAAACUGCGAGACUUGAGUCCUGGAGAGGAAGGCGGAAUUCUCGGUGUAGAGGUGAAAUUCGUAGAUAUCGAGAGGAACACCGGUGGCGAAGGCGGCUCACUGGACCGGUACUGACGCUGAGGUGCGAAAGCGUGGGGAGCAAACAGG